CAGCAGCCACGGUAAUACGUAUGUCGCAAGCGUUAUCCGGAAUUAUUGGGCAUAAAGGGCAUCUAGGCGGCCAGACAAGUCUGGGGUGAAAACUUGCGGCUCAACCGCAAGCCUGCCCUGGAAACUGUUUGGCUAGAGUGCUGGAGAGGUGGACGGAACUGCACGAGUAGAGGUGAAAUUCGUAGAUAUGUGCAGGAAUGCCGAUGAUGAAGAUAGUUCACUGGACGGCAACUGACGCUGAAGUGCGAAAGCUAGGGGAGCGAACAGGAUUAGAGACCCCUGUAGUCCCUGUUUCUUAUAA
rnacentral:rRNA from 1 species